rnacentral:SRP_RNA from 1 species
ACGGGCCGGGGCGAUAGCGGUGCCUUGUACCUGCAAUCCGCUUAGCAGGGGUCAUGCCUAUUUUGAGGGCAGCACCGUUCGGUCCGUGCCGCACGCCCCGUUCGUUGACGGGUUGGUCCUUUCGCAAUCAAAAUCCACGAACCAUGUCAGGUGGGGAACCAAGCAGCAUUAAGAGGACUCUUUGAUGUGUUGAGAGGGUGCCUGCCCUGAGG